ensembl:snRNA U1 U1 spliceosomal RNA
AUACUUACCUGGCAGGGGAGACACCUUGAUCAUGAAGGAGGUUUUCCCAGGGUGAGGCUCAUCCAUUGCACUCCGGGUGUGCUGACCCCUGCGAUUUCCCCAAAUGCGGGAAACUCGACUGCAUAAUUUGUGGUAGUGGGGGACUGCGUUCGCGCUUUCCCCUG